ACAUGCAAGUCGGACGGGAUCCAUCGGUAGCUUGCUACCGAUGGUGAGAGUGGCGCACGGGUGCGUAACGCGUGAGCAACCUGCCCAUAUCAGGGGGAUAGCCCGGAGAAAUCCGGAUUAACACCGCAUGACACUGCUUUCCGGCAUCGGGAGGUAGUCAAAUAUUCAUAGGAUAUGGAUGGGCUCGCGUGACAUUAGCUAGUUGGUGGGGUAACGGCCCACCAAGGCGACGAUGUCUAGGGGCUCUGAGAGGAGAAUCCCCCACACUGGUACUGAGACACGGACCAGACUCCUACGGGAGGCAGCAGUAAGGAAUAUUGGUCAAUGGGGGCAACCCUGAACCAGCCAUGCCGCGUGCAGGACGACUGCCCUAUGGGUUGUAAACUGCUUUUGUUAGGGAAUAAACCCCGCUACGUGUAGCGGGCUGAAUGUACCUAAAGAAUAAGGAUCGGCUAACUCCGUGCCAGCAGCCGCGGUAAUACGGAGGAUCCGAGCGUUAUCCGGAUUUAUUGGGUUUAAAGGGUGCGUAGGCGGCACUUUAAGUCAGGGGUGAAAGACGGCAGCUCAACUGUCGCAGUGCCCUUGAUACUGAAGUGCUUGAAUGCGGUUGAAGACGGCGGAAUGAGACAAGUACCCGGUGAAAUGCAUAGAUAUGUCUCAGAACACCCAUUGCGAAUGCAGCUGUC
rnacentral:rRNA from 1 species